UACAGAGGGUGCGAGCGUUAAUCGGAAUUACUGGGCGUAAAGCGUGCGUAGACGGUUAUGUAAGUCGGAUGUGAAAGCCCCGGGCUCAACCUGGGAAUUGCAUUCGAGACUGCAUAGCUAGGAUGCGGAAGAGGGAAGUGGAAUUUCCGGUGUAGCGGUGAAAUGCGUAGAUAUCGGAAGGAACAUCAGUGGCGAAAGCGACUUCCUGGUCCAGCAUCGACGUUCAGGCACGAAAGCGUGGGGAGCAAGCAGG
rnacentral:rRNA from 1 species